rnacentral:rRNA from 1 species
ACGUAGAUGACGUACCCUCAAGACGGGGAUAACGGAUGGAAACAUGCGCUAAUACCGGAUGACCUUACGAUGUCAGAAUGGUAAGGAAAGCUACGGUGCUUGAGGAGCGGUCUGCGGCCCAUCAGCUAGUUGGUAGGGUAAAGGCCUACCAAGGCGAAGACGGGUAGGGGGUGUGAGAGCACGGCCCCCCACAAUGGGACUGAGACACGGCCCAUACUCCUACGGGAGGCAGCAGCAGGGAAUAUUGCACAAUGGACGGAAGUCUGAUGCAGCGACGCCGCGUGAGUGAAGAAGGCCUUCGGGUUGUAAAACUCUUUUGAGGGGGAAGAGCGAGGACGGUACCCCUGGAAUAAGCGUCGGCUAACUACGUGCCAGCAGCCGCGGUAAGACGUAGGACGCGAGCGUUAUCCGGAUUUACUGGGCGUAAAGCGUCUGUAGGCGGAUGUGUAAGUUGGGCGUGAAAGCUCCGGGCUUAACCCGGAGAGGCCGUUCAAUACUGCAUAACUUGAGGGUGUCAGAGGGGAGCGGAAUUCCCUGUGUAGCGGUAAAAUGCGCAGAGAUCGGGAGGAACACCAGUGGCGGAGGCGGUUCCCUGGGGCACACCUGACGCUGAGAGACGAAAGCUAGGGGAGCGAACAGGAUUAGAGACCCUGGUAGUCCUAGCCCUAAACGAUGAAUGCUAGGUGUGGGAUCGAAUGGUUCCGUGCCGGAGCGAACGCGAUAAGCAUUCCGCCUGGGGAGUACGGCCGCAAGGUUAAAACUCAAACGAAUUGACGGGGCCCCGCACAAGCAGCGGAGCGUGUGGUUUAAUUCGAUGCUACACGAAGAACCUUACCUGGGUUUGACAUGUAGGUGGUAGUGAAUCGAAAGGUGAACGACCCUUCGGGGAGCCUACACAGGUGCUGCAUGGCUGUCGUCAGCUCGUGCCGUGAGGUGUCGGGUUAAGUCCAGUAACGAGCGCAACCCUUGCUCCUAGUUCCAAGUAUGUAGGGGGACUGCCGGCGGAAAACCGGAGGAAGGUGGGGACGACGUCAACUCAGCAUGGCCCUUAUAUCCAGG